UUCCUAACUUCCCAAUCUUCUAGAAUAGCUAAGCACAUCCUAUUCUUAUAUUUCUUCCUAUAAUACGUAACAGCUUGUCUGCAGUUGUUUUUUUCAAUUCUUUUGUUCCCUCUGGAAGCAUAAUUAUAUUGUAUUGUUGUAAGUGGUUGGUGGUGAAUUAUUCAUGGUUUGAUUGAUAGGUUGUUUGGAGUGCAGAUGUAACUAGUAGUUUGAAUCAUCUUAAUUGUGUUGCUUUUGAUGUUUAAAUUUGUAAAAAGAUUCUAAGUGGAAUUCAUAUAUAUGACUUUAUUAUGUUAGUUUUAUCUCAUGGAACAAAUUCUGCAAUAGGUUGGGUUUGGAGCAGCCAGUAUUAUUUUGAUUUUUGCCAGUAUUAUUUUGAUUUUUAUCAUCUGCAACACCUUAUUCAGAUAUGCUACUUUAUCUCUG
rnacentral:misc_RNA from 1 species